rnacentral:precursor_RNA from 1 species
GGCUUGAGGACCGUAUUCAUGGAAGAGGAUCGAACAGAAGACUACUGAGUUCUUAUGAGAAAAAUGGCUCUUAAGAAAUUGAAGGUGAUACCAAAGGAAGGUUACUUAUUACUUUUGGACUUUGAUGAUGAGGAUGAUGACAUAAAAGUUUCAGAGGAGGCUCUAUCGGAAGAGAUGAAGUAGACAGUAUGUUGGAUAAAUCUGAAGACAUGAAGUAGGCAGUAUGUUGGAUAAAUCUGGAGAUGACAUUUAUAAGACGCUUCACAUAAAGAGAAAAUGGAUGGAAACUUAUGUCRAAGARUCUUUCAAAGGCAGGAACCRGAAAUUAGAAAGAUUUUGCAAAAUGAACGAACGAGAGAGGAAGAACAUCAACAACAAAUUUUGUGAGCAGUAUAUAACUACAUUUCAGAAGUCUUAUAUGGAUGUACAGAAAUUCAAUGAGGAAAAAGAAAAAUCAGUGAAUAGUUGUCAAAAAGAACAACAAGCAUUGAAACUGUCCAAAUGUAGUCAGAACCAGACCCUGGAAGCAGCUGCAUCAUUGGACUCAAACUGAAUUUUCCAUGUGUUGCCACUGAUGUGAGCCAUUUGCAAGCC